GCCCGGUCCCAUUCCGAACCCGGAAGCUAAGGCCUGGCACGGCGAUGGUACUGCACCCGACAGGGUGUGGGAGAGUAGCACGCCGCCGCAU
rnacentral:rRNA from 1 species